GGCAGGAAGGCGCACGGUGCGCGUCGGGUUCUGUUGUAGCCUUUCAUAGCGUCAACCUGAAGGUCCCCGUUCGACUCGGGGUCCUGCUA